rnacentral:rRNA from 1 species
AAUGCUGGCGGUAGGCCUAACACAUGCAAGUCGAGCGAACAACCUUCAUACGGUUGUUAGCGGCAAACGGGUGAGUAACACGUGAGAAUCUACCCAUCCCAACGUGAUAACAUGGUCAACACCAUGUCAAUAACGUAUGACUCCUGCAACAGGUAAAGAUUUUAUCGGGGAUGGAUGAGCUUGCGGUAGAUUAGUUAGUUGGUAAGGGUAAAAGCCUACCAAGACAAUGAUCUAUAGCUGGUCUGGAAGGAUGGACAGCCACAUUGGGACUGAGACAAGGCCCAACCCUCUUAGGAGGGCAGCAGUGGGGAAUAUUGGACAAUGGGCGAAAGCCUGAUCCAGCCAUACCGCAUGAGUGAUGAAGGUCUACGGAUUGUAAAACUCUUUUCUUCAGAGAUCAUAAAUGAUAGUAUCUGUUGAUAUAAGCUCCGGCCAACUUCGUGCCAGCAGCCGCGGUAAUACGAGGGGAGCGAGUGUUGUUCGGUUUUAUUGGGCGUAAAGGGUAUGUAGGCGGUUUUGUAAGUCAACAAUUAAAUCUUGAAGCUUAACUUCAUUAGCGGUUGUUGAUACUGCAUAACUAUGAACUUAAUAGGGGUGAACACAAUUCCAAGUGUAGAGGUGAAAUUCGUUGAUAUUUGGAGGAGUACCAAAGGCGAAGGCAGUUCAUUGGGUUAAGUUGACGCUGAGGUACGAAAGCGUGGGGAGCAAACAGGAUUAGAUACCUGGUAGUCCACGCCCWAACGAUGAGUGCUAACAGUCGGGUAUAAAUAACAACCUGAAAGAUAUGUUUUCGAAUAUACCGAAUGGUUACAUGUUUAUAUUUGAUUGUGUAGCUAACGCGUUAAGCACUCCGCCUGGGGACUACGGUCGCAAGGCUAAAACUCAAAGGAAUUGACGGAGACCCGCACAAGCGGUGGAGCAUGUGGUUUAAUUCGAAGCUACACGAAGAACCUUACCAGCUCUUGACAUUUUUGGCUAAACAUGUUGGAAACAACAUGCCACUUACAAUAGUAAGGAUGCCUUGAACAGGUGCUGCAUGGCUGUUGUCAGUUCGUGUCGUGAGAUGUAUGGUUAAGUCCUAAAACGAACGUAACCCUUGUCCAUAGUUGCCGAAACAAAUAGGCUCUCUAUGGAGACUGCUAAUAAAAGUUAGAGGAAGGUGAGGAUCACAACAAGUCAUCAUGGCCCUUAUGGGCUGGGCUACACACGUGCUACAAUGGCAACUACAAAGAGUCGCAAUAUCGUGAGGUGGAGCAAAUCUCAAACAGUUGUCUCAGUUCGGAUUGUACUCUGCAACUCGAGUACAUGAAGUAGGAAUCGCUAGUAAUCGUGGAUCAGCAUGCCACGGUGAAUACGUUCUCGGGUCUUGUACACACCGCCCGUCACACCAUGGGAACCGAUUUUAUCCAAAGGUUCUAGAUUUAGAAUCCAAUGUAAGAUUGAUGACCGA